CAACCCUCAAGCUAAGCUUGGUAUUGGGCGUCGCUGCUUACCCAGCGCGCCUUAAAAACAGUGGCGGUGCCGUCGUGGCCCUGAGCGUAGUAAAUAUCCUCGCUAUAGGGACCCGAUGGACGCUAGCCAUUAACCCCCAACUUUCUAAGU
rnacentral:misc_RNA from 1 species